AGCGAACGCUGGCGGCAGGCCUAACACAUGCAAGUCGAACGAACCCUUCGGGGUUAGUGGCGGACGGGUGAGUAACACGUGGGAACGUGCCUUUAGGUUCGGAAUAACUCAGGGAAACUUGUGCUAAUACCGAAUGUGCCCUUCGGGGGAAAGAUUUAUUGCCCUUAGAGCGGCCCGCGUCUGAUUAGCUAGUUGGUGAGGUAAAGGCACACCAAGGCUACGAGCAGUAGCUGGUCUGAGAGGAUGACCUGCCACAUUGGGACUGAGACACGGCCCAAACUCCUACGGGAGGCAGCAGUGGGGAAUCUUGCGCAAUGGGCGAAAGCCUGACGCAGCAAUGCCGCGUGGAUGAUGAAGGUCUUAGGAUUGUAAAAUCCUUUCACCGGUGAAGAUAAUGACGGUAGCCGGAGAAGAAGCCCCGGCUAACUUCGUGGCAGCCGCCGCCGUAAAAC
rnacentral:rRNA from 1 species